rnacentral:rRNA from 1 species
UACGGGGGGGGUAAGCGUUGUUCGGAAUUACUGGGCGUAAAGGGCUCGUAGGCGGCCAACUAAGUCGGACGUGAAAUCCCUCAGCUUAACUGGGGAACUGCGUCCGAUACUGGAUGGCUUGGAUUUGGGAGAGGGAUGCGGAAUUCCAGGUGUAGCGGUGAAAUGCGUAGAUAUCUGGAGGAACACCAGCGGCGAAGGCGGCGACCUGGUCAGAUACUGGCGCUGAGGCGCGAAAGCGUGGGGAGCAAACAGG